UACGUAGGGGGCUAGCGUUGUCCGGAAUCAUUGGGCGUAAAGAGCGUGUAGGCGGUCCGGUAAGUCCGCUGUGAAAGUCGGGGGCUCAACCCUCGAAUGCCGGCCGAUACUGUCGGACUAGAGUCCGGAAGAGGCAAGUGGAAUUCCCGGUGUAGCGGUGAAAUGCGCAGAUAUCGGGAGGAACACCAAUGGCGAAGGCAGCUUGCUGGGACGGUACUGACGCUGAGGCGCGAAAGCGUGGGGAGCAAACAGG
rnacentral:rRNA from 1 species